GACGAACGCUGGCGGCGUGCUUAACACAUGCAAGUCGAACGAAAAGAGGGAAAGAGCUUGCUCUUUCCGGAAUUGAGUGGCAAACGGGUGAGUAACACGUAAACAACCUGCCUUCAGGAUGGGGACAACAGACGGAAACGACUGCUAAUACCGAAUAAGUUCCAAGGGCCGCAUGGCCCAUGGAAGAAAAGGUGGCCUCUACCUGUAAGCUAUCGCCUGAAGAGGGGUUUGCGUCUGAUUAGCUGGUUGGAGGGGUAACGGCCCACCAAGGCGACGAUCAGUAGCCGGUCUGAGAGGAUGAACGGCCACACUGGAACUGAGACACGGUCCAGACUCCUACGGGAGGCAGCAGUGGGGAAUCUUCCGCAAUGGGCGAAAGUCUGACGGAGCAACGCCGCGUGAGUGACGACGGCCUUCGGGUUGUAAAACUCUGUGAUCCGGGACGAAAAGGCAGAGUGCGAAGAACAAACUGCAUUGACGGUACCGGAAAAGCAAGCCACGGCUAACUACGUG
rnacentral:rRNA from 1 species